UUCCAACCCAUGCCAUUCUAUGAUUCUAUGACCUACUAUGGAUGUGCUUAUACAUACUGUGUUUACAUAUCAAGUUCAAUGAGGUCUGCAGUUACCAAACUUAGCGGGUGCAGGGAUGAAGCACUGCAGGGUGUGGUGUCUCUUGUGUGUGGGAUUUGGUGUGCAAGCUGUACAGAGCCAACCUUGCACACACUGGCUGCCUGUGCAGGAUCGCUGCAAGUCCAGCAGUCCACACAGAGCUGCAGUAACAUGAAGGAUUUUGUCUGCUUCAAAACAAAACAAGAAAAGAAAAAAGGAAGAAACCCUACUCCUGUGCAAUUAUAAAAACUUCUUCCCUGUGAGAUAAUGGCCUGGAUGACCAGAGGGCACUGGAGGGCAGGACGUAGUGGAUAAGUGUGGUUGAAGUGACAGGCACAUGUGUGAAGGAAAGCCUGGUUCCAACAAAGCACAGACCGUCUGCCUUGUGAAGGGAGAACAAAGCCUCUUCCAGCCAGGGGGAGUGGUGGCCAAGAGCUGGGGGAGGAUAUGAGGCAGACAGACCCACAGUGAAGAAUGUUGUGAUUCCCAUUUUUGCAUGCUUGAUUGAUGAUCAGGAGUUGCUUAAAAUGAGGAAGAAAAAUGGCCAAAAGUUAAUCCAAAGAAGAUACUGCUGAAGAAAUUGAGGCAGCCUAACCUGUCUGCUAUCCAGGAAGAGUUUGGAUUGAAUAAUCUGUAUUGAAAAAAUAUUCAUCAAAAUAAUUUGUAGAGUCUAGACAAUAACUCACGAGAGACUCUGAAAUUUCGAAAUCAAUGGAUGAGUUUGCAGCAACUCUUAUUAUUAUUAUUUAUAUUAAGUACUCAUGGAAUCCAUGGACUCAGCAGUCAUUCAGUAAAGAUAUUACUUGGUUUUUUUAUUACACUCUCGACCUACUUCUUUUUUCACUAGAUGUACUAGUGUACUAGAUGUACUACUGGCCACUGCAGUAAAAGAGAAUAAGAAAUCCUUUUACAAAUACAUCAGUGGUAAGAGAAGAACGAAGGAGAAUUUCCUUCUUCUACUUGAUGCAGAGGGGAAUGUGACCAUUGAGGAUAAGGAGAAGGCUGAGGUUCUCAACACCUUCUUUACAUCUGCCUUUAAUAGAUCAGUUAUCCUCAGGAUAACUCAGGAAGUCUGGGAUGGUACACAGAAUGCACCCCCGGUGAUUCAGGUGGAGACAGUUAGAGAGCUCCUCCUCCAUCUGGACUGUCACAAGUCCAUGGGACCAGACACGCUCCACCCUAGGGUGCUGAAGGAGCUGGCAGGGGUGACUGCCAAGCUGGUCUCAGCCAUCUACUAGCGCUCCUGGUUAUCUGGAGAGGUCCCAGAAGACUGGAGGCUUGCCGAUGUGGCUCCCAUCUACAGGAAGGGCUGUAAGGAGGACCCGGGGAACUACAAACCUGUCAGCCUGACCUUGGUACCAGGCCAAGGGACUCUGUUAGGCAACUUCCUGAACUUGAGAUUACACUCUUCACCGUGAAGUCCUCAAAGAGUUCAGUGGCUGCCCAUGCAGAAGACACAAUUAAGAUGAUCUUCAGGGGGUAUUUUGAAGGAUCUGUGGACAAACCAUAGAUGGUCAGACUGUAAGAAGAUAACUGUCAAGAUCCUCUGUCAAGCUCUGACCUUGUACUGCUCUUUCAGUGGCAGAAUCGGAGAGUCAGUGCAAGAAGAUGGAUGAGGUCCAUGCAAGCAAUGGGAACAUCAGAGAUAAUAAGAAUAUGUUCAAGGAGUUUCUUCUUUGGAAAGAGUCAGUUGCCCUGUGCAAUCACACGUACCUGGAGGGUGUACAAAUACUUUAAAUCUGUUUCAGAUGAGCACACUUGAAAGGAAGAUUUCCAACUCUGUUGACCACACAAGUGAAGUCUGGGCAGUGACCAUAGAGUAAGAUGUGGAAGAGGUCUGGAUAUACAGAGCAAGAGGAAGGCUGAGAAAGAACCAGCAAGGAGUGUCUCUGUCUCCUGUCACUGCAGACAAGGCUGACUGGCAAAAGCUCUUUCACAAAGUGCAAGAAGAAUCGCUGCUCCAAAGUGCAUCACUCAACCUGUCACCUGGGCAUCCUGAGCUACACUGGAAAACAGAAACAAAGUAAUGGGUGUGAGAAGUUAAUUAAUUCAAGAAUUAGAAGAGUUGAGAAAUGGGACCCUUCAGAAGUGUGACCCAGAUAAGAUUCUCCUAUGCCAUAAAUCAUUCAUUAUUGUUUAGAGUUUUCCCUCUCCACGUUUGACCUUCAUCAUCAUUCUCUCUCUUGUGUCUGGGUGUCAUCACAAAAGCAGUGGGUAUGUGGUUGGAAGCACAGAGGACAUAUUCAAUAGUGUUUCCCUGCAUGGUUGCAUUUUUAUGGAACAGGAAAGAAACAAUGAAAACUGAACUGAAUUUGCUGUCUAGCAUUUCUCUCAGAACCAUGUGAGGUAGACAGCUCUUCAAAGAGAAGAAAGUUUAGCUUGUGACAUUCCCAAUUAAGCCCUUCAUCUUGGAGAUAAUUAACCAGUGUUAGAGGCUUCCCAGACCUGGACAGAAAAGGAUACAUCCUACAACAGUAAAUGUCCAUUUGAAAAUGCACUGCUUUUCCCUGUUGUACUUGUCCUGGGCAUUUAGCAUGGGCUGACAUGGUGAAUACUUUAAACAGACAAUUAGUUCCGCACAGUGCAGAUUUGAGUUCAGGCCAUACCUGCAUUAAAAAAAAAUGUGGCUCUUCUGACACAGUUUUGGUGGCUGAGAUUCAGAGCAUGUGGUUUGACUUUUGGAUGGUCCUGUGGGGAGCAAGGAGUUGGACUCAAUGAUCAUUAUGAACCCCUUCAAACUGGGGAUAUUCUGUGAUUUUAUUAUCUUCUUCUGGGCAAAGCAGUGCUAAAGGACUAGUCUUUGCUCCCCACUACACCACUCUGAAUCCAGAGUAGUUCUGUGCAAUUCACUCUCAGAUGCCCUUGAAUACCAGCCAGUUUCCCCAGGAGUGGGGAGAUAGUGGGCUGUGCCACAAUGUAUGUACACCCCAAAUCCUGAGGCUGGCUGGAGGCAGGCUUAACCCCUGGUGCAAUUCAGAACAGCCUCGGGGCUGCUCUGGGUUGUGCUGUUUUUUGACAGUCCCUCUGGGGUUGCCCUUUCUUGGCAUGCCUCUGAAAUGCCACCUUGGAAGAGGAGAAGGAGGAAAGGGUGAGGGGGAAGUGUUGCAUAGACCUACCUACUUAUACUUACCUACACAGAGUGCAAUCCAGCUGACAUCAGCCUGAAAACCCACCUACUGACAGUGGUGUAAGAGACUUUUGUGGGGAAGACCUUGCAGUUGGUCUGAUGCUUUUGUUAAGGUAGGAUUUAAAACUAAUUUAUUUAAUUCCUGUUUUUAACUUUCCAUAUAAGCUCUGAGAAUAAGUUUGUAUUGCAAGUGGAGAUAUAAACUCAUUCCACCAUGGAGUGAGUAUAUGACCAUCAUCACCUUGUGUCUUAGCAAGCAGAGCCCACGAUCAUUUUACAAAAUGUUCCUCCAAGAGAAAAAUUCCUGGGGCACCUGCUGGUGCUACACUAUCCAGCCACAUCAUUCAAAAACCAAGGUGCUUCAGAUAAUACUUCCAAAUUACUAAUCAACGACAUUGGUAGUAUUAACUAGUACAGGCUUAAUAAUAUAAUAUAAUUUAAUGACAGCUACUUUCAUCUAAGUCACUUAUAGUACUUACAUACUUACAGAGCAGAAUGUAAGACUUAAUAUACAAGCAGUAAUUAUUUAUUCCUCUAUCAAUCUUGUCUCCUGUUGAUUUAUUACCCUAUCAACAUCAACGAAGAUACAGUAGACAGUCCCCUCAUUUGUCCUGUUCCCCUCAUUUUCUCUGUUCAUCAUUUUAAUUUGAUAUUUUGUUAGUUGAGGUGCAAAUAUUUAAGUCUCCCUAAAAUUGACUGUUCUGUAGCUAGGUAUGUGUCCUAGUUAUUGCCCCUUGGACAUCUUUCCCACUGUGUGAAAUCUUGACUCCAACUGUGAACUUCUGCAGAAAUAAUUGACCACCAUGUCCACAGAAAAAUAAGUGGAAGAGGUUCUUCUUAUUCUAUGAUUCUAGAUACCCCCCAGAUCCUGCUUCCAAACACAAGGGAUUAGGCAUGAUUUUGUGUUUAUAGAGCACAGACUGUAGCAAGAUCUUCUUAAGAUCUCCAGUUGUUACAAUAAUAUGAUUACUGAAUACAACUCUUCGCAGUGUUAGCUACUGGGGAAGGUUUGGGGUGAUUAGGAACACAGGGAAAGUAGGCAAUCUGGAUGAGUUUAGAAUUAUGUACUUAAAAAAAAAAAAAAAAUACAACCCCAAAUUCUUGCUUGUCUUUUCAUCAUACAUUUUGUUGUUAAUCUCUAGAACAGGUAAUUUGCAGGUUAAAUCCCACUUUCCUUCCCUAUAUAGUAUAUAUUCAUCUUUGAUAAAACAUGCACAAGUCCAUUAACUUCAGUAGGGUUACGUUCAAUCACUCCAACACUGAAUCUGUCCCAGUGGGUUAAUGCUGUAAAUCUAUCCUGGAAGCAAUGGUUAUAGGAACAUUGUUUCUGCUCUGAAAUUCAUUCAGUCUUUUCAAAGAAGUCAAAUUAGAGGAGCUGAGGAAUGUUUUCAGCCCCUGCACCAACACAUAACCCCCAUUCCAGAAACUCUUUUUAGUUCUACCUCUUCUCUCCUUCACAACCUUGACUCUUUUAGGUUCUCUUCUCUCUCACAUUGUCAUUUGCAGCCUGUCUCUACUAUCUAAGCGUGGUAAGCAAUACUACACACACUGCUGCCUGUAGCCAUGGCAUCUCAGUCUGAGGUGGCCUUGUCAAAUCUUAUCAGCUAAGUGAGGUUGGGUCUCGUUAGUAUUUGGACAGAAUCCCUUGUAGGAAGGCUACAAGUGCUCUACACACUGGUUCUUGGACAUCUGUAGGUGCCAUUCCUUCAUCCUAGGCCAGUGCCCUGAGUCAUCUUAAGUGAUGCUUUAAAACAUUGUCCUGUGGCACUGUGCUGCUAAGAGGGCCAUCACUGGCUCAUGUGUAAAAUUGAAGUGAAUCUUACCCAAAUGUGGAAAAUCCUUCAUCUUUUCAGCUGUAAUUUGCCUGUCUUCCCAGCUGAUCACAGCAUAGGAUAUAGAACAUGUGUUUUUUUAACACAACUUUGCCUCUGUUGCAUUUAAUAUUACUACUUCUGCAACACAUUCAUUUACAGAACAAUAUGGAAGCUCUCUGGUGUCCAAUUUAAUGCCUAUAAAUUUGUCCGUGUAAUCUCUAACCAAUUGGACAGAUAAAAUAUUUGCCUUAAAUUUCAGCAUUCUUGUGUUCUCUUUUGAAAUACAGCUCUUUGAUUAGUCUCUUCUAAUUUUUUUUUCUUUUCUUUUCUUUUCAGCAAGAAAUCUUAGUGUUAGGAAGCAGAAUUCUGGUGAUAUUUGGAAAAGAACAGAUCUUCUCCAGGCUGGUUGAGUCCGGGUUGUACUACAGCCAGAUCUGCAAUAAGAUCUGGAGAUUGGCUUACACCAACCACAUUAGUUUUUGUCUCUUCUGGGAGAGCCAAUGGAUCACUUCAGUUCAGGUAUUGAGUCUGUGUCAGGGUAGGGUCUUCCUCUCCUCUGGACAAUGCUAGUGUCACAGCCUCCCUCACAUGUUGGGUUGGCAGGCAAAGCCAUCUUCCUCCAGACAGGGAAAGGGAUCAUGUCAGGAUUUCUGUGCCAGUUCUUUUUGUGGCUCAAAGGGGAAUGGGGGAAAGGAGAAUUUGAUUUCUUUCUUAUGACAGUGUUUUAUCAUGUUGUUUCUUUGAUGUUUCAUUACUUAUCUCCCUUCUGUGCAGAUAUGAACUUACCCAUAGGAAAGCCUCUAACCAUCUAUUCCUCUCUGUCACCCCCAAAACAUGCUUACUCCUGGAGGAAAUCUUGAGAGUGAGUAAACAACAUUAUGAAGGUCCUUGCACUGUGAAGGCAAAAGAAUCCACUCAGGGACUGAAAUGCUGCUUCAAGGAUUUUGGGAACAGCCAAGGUUUGUCAGGCUGGUACCUUUGCUCCUUAGACGGGGCCAGGCUGGACAGGGUUGCCCUGAGGUGCAUCUGUGCAGGAUGAAGUUCAUCAGACACAAACAGCUCUGUUUGCAUAUGGUAUCUUUAUGCAGUUCACUGUAUGGAGAUCUUACCGCUACCUCAAUCCAUCUGGGCAAAUAAAGGGCAAACAAAAGGGAAGGAUUUGCUCAGAAAUCAUGACAUGGUCUUUGCAAAACAGUAAGGAGACUGAAAACUGUUUAAAGGCAGAGCAUAACAAAUGUUCAGUUAAUAAGGGCCCCAGAGGAUCCGAAGGAUUUUAGUUCAGGGAUGAAGAUUAUGUAGGCAGUAGUAGCCCUUUAAGGGAUCUAGGAAUAUUGAGGGUGAGGAGGGGGAAUGCAUUUAAUCCCUUCACUGAGUACACAGGAGAAUUACAUGGCAUACACACAUUGCUGAUGCUCAGCAUCACAUUCCAGGGUUGAAUAUAACUUCGUUCCCUGUCUAGAAUUUACCCACCAAACAGAGAGGUUGAAAGGCAACAUUAAUUACACAUCUGGCCAGCACGUAGCGAUGCUCAGAUGUUGAGUGUCAUAUAAAUGCAAAAUGUUGCUAUUCUACAGGGUGACUUCUCUACAUGUGUAGAUUAAACAAUGGCUUUGCGCAAGAAUAAAAUCUGCAGUGCUGCUGAUGAGAAGAGUUAAUUGUACAGCUGCAGAAUUAUGGACAGUGUAGUUUUACUGAGCUAAAAGAUGAGGACAGUGAUUCAUGGCUGCACCCAUGCUCUCCAUCAUGAAAUAUAAAUUUAAAAUAAUUGUAUUAUGGUAGGCUACCUGUAUUGUUACAUUCAUAAUGGAUGUCACACAUCCGUCCUUGCUCUGUGUUCCAGGCAAGGCAUGUUAGAGAAACUAUGGCAGUAUUUUUCUUUUAGGUCUAACAAUCUGUCAGUAUCAAAUUCUCUUAGUCAGUAGGGAGCAUAUAGUGUUGAUUUACUGAAAAUCUGGGAUUAUGUCUGCUCUGUGGUGAGCGCAGAUUUAAGAGGGGAGAGGUAAGGGGUCUCCAAAAGGUGAAGAAAAACACAAAUGAAACCUAGCAAGGAAAAAAUAGCUUGACAGUUAAGAUGCAGUACAGUCACCAUCAAGUCUUCUUGAAGGAAAACCCAAGCAUGCAGGCGUGCUCUGAGCACCACACACUGUACCUUAAGCAGCCCAUUCAAUUACCCACUUCGCUCCGUAGAACUGGAAAUGUGGAACUUGUAGGAACUGCAGAAAAAAAUGAAAAAGCUCUGGCUCUUCAGCCUCAGAAGAAAUCUUGGUAUUUCUUUUGCCUGGUGUAGUAAUGCCUUUGGUGGCACACAGGAAUUUAGGGUGCAAACACCUAAGGACAGAACACAACAAUAGAGGAUUUCUGUUAUUUUUUAUUCCUUUUCCUGCCGACUUUGUUAGACAAAGGGACAGCGACAGCACGGAGAGUGGCUCUGAGGGUUGGUUUGGUGACAGCAACUUCACUCCCAUGCAGUUCUUGAUUUGCAGGACUCUCCUUGGCAUAGCAUGGCAUGGCAUGGUGUGGCACAGCCCGGCACAGCAUGGCAUGGCACAGCAUGGAGUUUCCCAAAGAUUCAGUGCUGUACUGAGUCAGACCAGAAAGACUGUAGAUAGCAAUCCAGGCUGUGUCAUUAAGGACCAAAAGCUUCAGCCAGAUGAGUAGUAAAGGUGUUGUAGUCACAGUCCUGCCCUGGUGGAACGGUGCCUCCUCCAUCACAAAAUGCAAUUUGGCACUAAUUGGUAUCUUUAAUAGCAGUCUAGCAGCAAGCCCAUGAAGGCUUGCCUUCAUCCUUGUUCCGGGCCUUCCAGGCGGACUGGGGAAGCUUUCAUUGCUGCUGUCUGCAUUGUAAUUGUUCUGGGGAUAAGUAAAGGAUUUCCAGCUCUGGGCUGCCAAUCUGUCCCCCUUCAAUAGACAAAAAGUCACAGCAAUAUUAAUUAAAAAAAACCCCAAAAUAUCACAUUGGUAGCCACAGCGCAAGCAAAAUAUAAGCAAUUAAAAAACUACCCAGCAAAGGCUGGCUUAAUGUGAUGAGCAUCCAGUGUGCAGAUUCCACUUUAUUUUAAUGGACAGAGGGGAGAUUCAUUUGUGAAGAAGAGAAGUAACCCCCAAACCUUGUAACUCUUCUCUGCUAUCAAACACUGCUAAACUUCAUGGGAUUUAUUAUAUUAAAAAAAAAAAAAGGAAAAGAAAAAAAAGAAGAAAAAAGGAAAAGGAAAAGGCUGCUUUCCCUUUAAAAAGAGAGGAGCGACUUGGUCUGAUGCUGCUGCCUUUAUCAGCCAUGAAGUUCCCAGCAAGGUGCUGUUAGUGCCUGAUUAAACCUCAUACCAAUCUCUGUCCCCCAUGGUAACCCAGAAGACAUCCACUGAGAGUGGCAGCUCUUAUUCAUUUUAAUUGCCAAGGAUCUCUCUGUGAUGGCCAGUUUUCUUGUCUCUCAAGGACUUGAAUGGAAAUCCAUCUGAUUACAUGAGCAAUCCGGGUGCUCUGACAGAUCUGAAAUAUGAAUAUGGAGAUGGCAUUGUGCUCUGCACUGACUCCUGAAACCCCAAUAGUAAAUUAUGAUCUGCCACUAAAACAAUUUCAGGGCACAGUACAAUUCACAUAAAAGCCCAUUUUUUUGGUAAUGGAACACAAAUUAUUAAUAAAUCAGUCCAAAGAAAGAGAAGAAAUUGAAAAAUAGAUUUCAUCUCUUGGCAUUUUUUGUGGAACAUCAGAAACGCAAAUGCACGCAAACAUACAUGUGGUCACCCUUUCCUGUUGGGCACCUUUUUGUACAGCUCUAAGUGGAGAUUAUACAAAGAACAGAAAGAAAUCCCUUGGGGCUACCGUAGCGUACUUAGCCACAGGUCCUUUCACUGUAAGCUUAACCUCCAAAGAAACACUGUAUGAGAAAUGCAAAGCCCCAGAUGAAAGAAUAGGGGAGAUCAGUAAACACAAAGGAGAUGUCCCAUCCCUCGGGUGGAACAGCCUCUGGUUAUGCAGAGCCGCAUAGGAGGGACACCUUUAUUGUCACAACAAAACAGGCAGCCUUGAUGUGCACACAGGGGGGCAGCCCAUCUUCCUCCCAUGCCCCUCUGCCAUGUGCGUACUGGUGGCACGUUGCAUUUCCAAGGAGACUUUACCCUCCCUGGAUGUGGCCCACAGCAUCCACUAGGAAUCCAAACUACCUGAGAGACAGGUGGACUACCUAUGUGAGGCCCUAUAAAAACAAGGCCAGGCCCAGCCGCGGUGCUCUGCUGCCAAACACAGAAGAGUGGUGUUUGCCUGUGGGUCAGAAGAG
ensembl:lncRNA